rnacentral:rRNA from 1 species
AUACGGAGGAUCCGAGCGUUAUCCGGAUUUAUUGGGUUUAAAGGGUGCGCAGGCGGGAUGUUAAGUCGGCGGUGAAAUUUUUCAGCUCAACUGUAAAAGUGGCUUUGAUACUGGCUUCCUUGAGUGUGGGUGAAGUAGGCGGGAUUUGUGGUGUAGCGGUGGAAUGCUUAGAUAUCACGAGGAACUCCGAUUGCGCAGGCAGCUUACUAAACCACUACUGACGCUCAUGCACGAAGGCGUGGGGAUCAAACAGGAUUAGAUACCCUGGUAGUCCACGCAGUAAACGAUGACUACUAGUUGUUUGCGAUACAAUGUAAGCGACUGAGCGAAAGCGUUAAGUAAUCCACCUGGGGAGUACGUUCGCAAGAAUGAAACUCAAAGGAAUGGACGGGG